GUAAAAUUCUGCAAUCAAUGCACAGAACAAGUGCUCAUGGCUCACUGAGUGGUUCUUAUUUUCUUGUACUUGAUUGACAAGUAAUGGCAUAACCUAAUAAGCAAAAAUAAACUAGCCCAUUCAAUCUGCCCAUUAUUGAAUCAUUAUCCAAGUAUUCAAGUCUCUAUAAAACACACAAUUUAUAACCUGGGGUCACUAAUCC